ACGUGUAUUUUCAGUUUUAAUUCCUUACCCUCCCCCGAAGUCGUUUUAGAAAGUCUUUUAUUACAGUUUUUCUAUAAAAAAAUUCCUUCAAUUAAAAGUUAUUGUUUUCUACCAAAUUUUCUACCCAUUCCCAUUUCCCCCAAAUUAAGAACCCUAGAAAUUCUUUUCCGCCAAAUUUUCUGCCUCCUCGCUGUCGUUCCCCUCCGAUUCUGACGACAACUAGCAGUCUCACGCUCGUGCUGUCGCUCUCAAGGCCAAAGCUUAUCACCUCUUCACCAAGUUUUAGGCGCCAGAAAAUCUGUAAAGCCGACUUGCUUAUCUACACCCCGUGUAGCUUGAGCUUUUCUGCCACUCAAUUAAAGCUUUGGCAAUGACUAUUCCUAUGGUGUUUGAUAUUUUGUUUCCACCGACUUUAAUCCAUGAUUCAGAGGCUUUGUUUGACAGAAUAUUAGCUACGUGGGGUUACAGGUUUCGAAUGAAUAUUUAAUUUAACCUUGUUUGUAACUUUAUGAAUUAUCAAACUUGUUAUUUAUUGAAUUUGAAUUUGAUGUACUGAAGCAGUCAUGGAUUGAACCAUAGAAUAAAUGUCAAGUGAAAUUACUAAGGGCUUUAAAUAA